AGUGAACGCUGGCGGUAGGCCUAACACAUGCAAGUCGAACGGCAGCACAGUAAGAGCUUGCUCUUACGGGUGGCGAGUGGCGGACGGGUGAGGAAUACAUCGGAAUCUACUUUUUCGUGGGGGAUAACGUAGGGAAACUUACGCUAAUACCGCAUACGACCUACGGGUGAAAGCAGGGGAUCUUCGGACCUUGCGCGAUUGAAUGAGCCGAUGUCGGAUUAGCUAGUUGGCGGGGUAAAGGCCCACCAAGGCGACGAUCCGUAGCUGGUCUGAGAGGAUGAUCAGCCACACUGGAACUGAGACACGGUCCAGACUCCUACGGGAGGCAGCAGUGGGGAAUAUUGGACAAGGGGCGCAAGCCUAAUCCAGCCAUACCGCGGGGGUGAAGAAGGCCUUCGGGUUGUAAAGCCCUUUUGUUGGGAAAGAAAAGCAGCAGGUUAAUACCCCGCUGUUCUGACGGUACCCAAAGAAUAAGCACCGGCUAACUUCGUG
rnacentral:rRNA from 1 species